rnacentral:misc_RNA from 1 species
UUGCAAUUCAAAUUUAAAAUGGAUUGUUGAAAAAGUAAUAAUAAUAAAAACAAAUGGAACAGCUGGAUGGUUUUUUUUAUAUGAUUGAUGGUGGAUGGAAACUGAAUUGCCACCGAUGCAGUUAUUUAGGGGAUGCAAUUGCAAUCCCAACAAAUAUAGUAGCUAUUUGAAGGAAGCCUCUACUGACUAAUAUUACUAGAUUAAUUGCAUUAUGCAGGCACGGCCCUAAGAAUAAGUUAUUAAUAAUGG